rnacentral:tRNA from 1 species
CCCCUGAUGGUCUAGUGGUUAGGAUUUAAUGCUUUCACCUCUGCGGGCCCAGGUUCAAUCCCUGGUCUGGAAA